AGACCCGAAACCCGGUGAUCUAGCCAUGGGCAGGUUGAAGGUUGGGUAACACUAACUGGAGGACCGAACCGACUAAUGUUGAAAAAUUAGCGGAUGACCUGUGGCUGGGGGUGAAAGGCCAAUCAAACCGGGAGAUAGCUGGUUCUCCCCGAAAGCUAUUUAGGUAGCGCCUCGUGAAUUCAUCUCCGGGGGUAGAGCACUGUUUCGGCUAGGGGGCCAUCCCGGCUUACCAACCCGAUGCAAACUGCGAAUACCGGAGAAUGUUAUCACGGGAGACACACGGCGGGUGCUAACGUCCGUCGUGAAGAGGGAAACAACCCAGACCGCCAGCUAAGGUCCCAAAGUCAUGGUUAAGUGGGAAACGAUGUGGGAAGGCCCAGACAGCCAGGAUGUUGGCUUAGAAGCAGCCAUCAUUUAAAGAAAGCGUAAUAGCUCACUGGUCGAGUCGGCCUGCGCGGAAGAUGUAACGGGGCUAAACCAUGCACCGAAGCUGCGGCAGCGACACUCAGGUGUUGUUGGGUAGGGGAGCGUUCUGUAAGCCUGUGAAGGUGUGUCGUGAGGCAUGCUGGAGGUAUCAGAAGUGCGAAUGCUGACAUAAGUAACGAUAAAGCGGGUGAAAAGCCCGCUCGCCGGAAGACCAAGGGUUCCUGUCCAACGUUAAUCGGGGCAGGGUGAGUCGACCCCUAAGGCGAGGCCGAAAGGCGUAGUCGAUGGGAAACGGGUUAAUAUUCCCGUACUUGGUGUUACUGCGAAGGGGGGACGGAGAAGGCUAUGUUGGCCGGGCGACGGUUGUCCCGGUUUAAGCGUGUAGGCUGGUUUUCCAGGCAAAUCCGGAAAAUCAAGGCUGAGGCGUGACGACGAGGCACUACGGUGCUGAAGCAACAAAUGCCCUGCUUCCAGGAAAAGCCUCUAAGCAUCAGGUAACAUCAAAUCGUACCCCAAACCGACACAGGUGGUCAGGUAGAGAAUACCAAGGCGCUUGAGAGAACUCGGGUGAAGGAACUAGGCAAAAUGGUGCCGUAACUUCGGGAGAAGGCACGCUGACACGUAGGUGAAGUGAUUUACUCAUGGAGCUGAAGUCAGUCGAAGAUACCAGCUGGCUGCAACUGUUUAUUAAAAACACAGCACUGUGCAAACACGAAAGUGGACGUAUACGGUGUGACGCCUGCCCGGUGCCGGAAGGUUAAUUGAUGGGGUCAGCGCAAGCGAAGCUCCUGAUCGAAGCCCCGGUAAACGGCGGCCGUAACUAUAACGGUCCUAAGGUAGCGAAAUUCCUUGUCGGGUAAGUUCCGACCUGCACGAAUGGCGUAAUGAUGGCCAGGCUGUCUCCACCCGAGACUCAGUGAAAUUGAACUCGCUGUGAAGAUGCAGUGUACCCGCGGCAAGACGGAAAGACCCCGUGAACCUUUACUAUAGCUUGACACUGAACAUUGAGCCUUGAUGUGUAGGAUAGGUGGGAGGCUUUGAAGUGUGGACGCCAGUCUGCAUGGAGCCGACCUUGAAAUACCACCCUUUAAUGUUUGAUGUUCUAACGUGGACCCGUUA
rnacentral:rRNA from 1 species